GACGAACGCUGGCGGCGUGCUUAACACAUGCAAGUCGAACGGAAAGGCCCUGCUUUUGUGGGGUGCUCGAGUGGCGAACGGGUGAGUAACACGUGAGUAACCUGCCCUUGACUUUGGGAUAACUUCAGGAAACUGGGGCUAAUACCGGAUAGGAGCUCCUGCUGCAUGGUGGGGGUUGGAAAGUUUCGGCGGUUGGGGCUGGACUCGCGGCUUAUCAGCUUGUUGGUGGGGUAGUGGCUUACCAAGGCUUUGACGGGUAGCCGGCCUGAGAGGGUGACCGGCCACAUUGGGACUGAGAUACGGCCCAGACGCCUACGGGAGGCAGCAGUGGGGAAUAUUGCACAAUGGGCGGAAGCCUGAUGCAGCAACGCCGCGUGCGGGAUGACGGCCUUCGGGUUGUAAACCGCUUUCGCCUGUGACGAAGCGUGAGUGACGGUAAUGGGUAAAGAAGCACCGGCUAACUACGUG
rnacentral:rRNA from 1 species